rnacentral:rRNA from 1 species
GACGAACGCUGGCGGCGUGCUUAACACAUGCAAGUCGAACGGAAAGGCCCUGCUUGCAGGGUACUCGAGUGGCGAACGGGUGAGUAACACGUGGGUGAUCUGCCCUGCACUUCGGGAUAAGCCUGGGAAACUGGGUCUAAUACCGGAUAGGAGCCAUUUUUAGUGUGAUGGUUGGAAAGUUUUUUCGGUGUAGGAUGAGCUCGCGGCCUAUCAGCUUGUUGGUGGGGUAAUGGCCUACCAAGGCGGCGACGGGUAGCCGGCCUGAGAGGGUGGACGGCCACAUUGGGACUGAGAUACGGCCCAGACUCCUACGGGAGGCAGCAGUGGGGAAUAUUGCACAAUGGGCGCAAGCCUGAUGCAGCGACGCCGCGUGGGGGAUGACGGCCUUCGAGUUGUAAACUCCUUUCGCUAGGGACGAAGCUUUUGUGACGGUACCUAGAUAAGAAGCACCGGCUAACUACGUG